rnacentral:lncRNA from 1 species
UCCCUUGAACUGUACUCUCAUGUUUCUACGAUCACACACACAUGGUUAAUUUUACAAGACAUGUUGGCCAAGGGAUCCCAACUUGUUUUUGGACGAAUGCACACAAGCGUGUGCAUUCAAAGGAAGAGGGAAAGAAUAAGAGGAUAGAGAUUUGGGGUGAUUGAGAGAAACGAAGGAAAAACUAGAAUGGGGAAAGAGAAGAAAAGGAAGAUAAAUUUGACCAAGUAGCUAGACUGACACAAUUGCUAGCUUAGUACAGUAGUUGACUUAGCAUGGUAGCAAGAUGGAUACAGUAACUUAGACCGGCAUGGCGACAAUCCUACUCGACGACAGAGUCAAUACCGAGCAGCCUGGCAAGAUGACAAAUAUGACGUGGCAGCAAGACAGGCAUGGUAACUUAAACCGACAUUGCAGCAAUACUGCUCAACAACGAGACUACCAUGAUAGUGCUAGGCUUAGCAUGUGCCUUGGUCAAACGAGAGAGGAAGAAGAAAACAGAAAAAAAGAAAGAAAGAAAAGGAUGGAAAACAGAGAAGAGAAGAGAAGAGAAGGGAAGUAGAAGAAGAAUAUUGAGAGAGAGGAAGAGUGAAA